rnacentral:rRNA from 1 species
AUGAAGGAGGCAGCUCUCAAGGGCCCUUUUUCCCCGCAGCGAACCCAGUGGGUCGAGCCAAACCUCCCGCCGGCGAUCUGCAGUAGCACCCCGCUGGUGAGCCAGCUCCUUCCCGCGCUUCUCCCCGGUCUCCUCUCUCUCUUCUCACCCUCUCUUCUCUCUCGAGCAGGAUGCAGCAACUCCAGCACAACAAUGGCGCCGCCCAUGGAUCUCAGAACUGCCGCUGUCAUGCCCGCAUCAUUCGGAACCUUCACCGACACCCGCCGUCGCGAUCCUGCAUUUGCGUGUCAGCACCACAACAAUGGCGCCGCCCAGAUCUCAGAACUCCCAUCGGCAUGCCCGCGUCAUUCGUCGGAAUCUUCACCGACACCCGCCGUCGCGAUUCUGCAUGUGCGUGUCAGCAGGAGCAUCUCCCGCAUUAGCCUCAACUGCCUCUCGUCGUCUCCUUCUCUUUUGAGUCACAGGCCGGCGGCGAGCUCGUGGAGGCAUGGAGGCAUGGAGGCCCGGCAGCCAUGGCUUGCUGCGAAGGAGAGAGAGAGAGAGGGAGGUGAGAGAUAG